AUUAGUCAACAUCACAAGUCUGAGGCACUGAGAUCAGAGUAACAUUAAAAUAUUUGAAGCUUUUAAAUAGCUAUAAACAAGAAUAGAAAAGUGUCUCUAUUCAAGCACUUGACUCCUGUAGCUCAUCUGUAGCUCAUUCUCUUGCUGAUAUAUGAGAAAAGUUCCAAACAAAUGAGGUUGUGACCUCAUUCACUGAAAGAUAACAUCUGCACUUUACACAGUGCCUUUGCUGUAAGCGAAAAUACGCAGAGUCAUACGAGUCUUAGACCAACGGCUGUUGGAAAUCAGUACAUUUGCCCAUAGAGAAGAUGAAUCAACAUCAAAGUUGCAGCAGUAUUAUGAAGCAAUUCCACUCCCCUGUUUGUUUUGUGAUACUAUUGUAAGCCAAGUAAGAAUCACAGAAUCACGGAAUUGCAGGGGUUGGAAGGGACCUCAAGAAACCAUCCAAAGGAGUCCAAAUCCCUGCCAAAGCAGGUACCUUACAGUAGAUCACACAGAGCUGAUUAAACUCUUGGAAAAUAACAUAUUUGAAUAUCCAGAAGACAUUUCCCUGAGACCAAACAGAACACAGCUGAUCAAAUGUUGAGGAAGGAGUUAUUCACAAAAAACAAAAGGAAGUGACUAACAAGUAUUUCCUGGCUACUCUGGCUCUCAACUGAACUACUUACUUCAAUCUUCUUUUCUCCUUUUUUUCUUUAUGAACAUCCUCCAUGGUAUUUCUGACAUAUAGAAUGAUCAUCAGCAAUGCAUUUGAUACCUUUUCAUUCAAGGUUAACUCUCUCUGCAAACAUCACUUACUAGAAACUCUGCAGUCUUUAAAAUGUGAAUUAGUUUGCAGUGAACUUCAUAAACCGUCAGCUGUACAAAAGCAGAGUAAUCUUAAUGUUACUGUGCAGUCAUUGAAACACUGGCAUAUCUCCAUUUCUUUUAAUGGGAAAAGAAACUUGUUAAGCCUGAUCUUUUAUUUUUGCUGAUAGUUGUGACCCCCACAUUUUCCAUAUCUUCAGUUCUUUAAUUUUCACAACCAGACCUGGGGAAAUGUUCCAGUUUCACUUAACAUUUCUCUGCAGAACAUAAUGCAUACCCUAUGCUGCUGAAUUACUAUAACCUAACUGAUUUAGCCAGAAUCACUGAAAAGAGGUUGUAGAAAAAUGACUGACAUGGAGGAAGAAACUGGUAGACCUCAUCCCCACAGUCCAUAAAUCAGGAUGAAAUGUUUGUUAUCAGGCAGUGGUUAGCUCUCCUUUAGCUCUAUUAGCCUACUCCAGUGGGAUCCUUGCCCUUCUGUUUUAGUUUCAUAGGUAUUUUCAGUAUGCUCUUCAUACCAUCUGCUGUUUAUGGAAUGAUUCUCUAAUGAAGUAUACAUGCUUUCUCAGAAGAAGAGACUGCGUUUUUUGUGUGUUAUGCCCUCUGCAGAGCCAUUUCAGUUGUGAUAUGCUCUGUUAAUUUAUUAAAAUUACUGAUUCCCCCUCCUCAAAUUACUCUUCACUGGCAAGUGAACUAACUGAUUACUCUGAUGUUUACAGUACUCCACAGAUACAACUUUUAUUGCGUGGUAAAAAGAAAAGUAGGCUCUGCUAUAAAGUUAGAUUCUAAUAUUUUAAUAAUUUAUUCAGAUGUAUUUCUUAUUUUCAAGUAGUAUCUUUUAAAAAUAAAGCCU